GAUGAACGCUGGCGGCAUGCCUAACACAUGCAAGUCGAACGAUGCCUUCGGGCAUAGUGGCGCACGGGUGCGUAACGCGUGGGAAUCUGCCCUUGGGUUCGGAAUAACUCAGAGAAAUUUGAGCUAAUACCGGAUGAUGACGUAAGUCCAAAGAUUUAUCGCCCAAGGAUGAGCCCGCGUAAGAUUAGCUAGUUGGUGGGGUAAAGGCCUACCAAGGCGACGAUCUUUAGCUGGUCUGAGAGGAUGAUCAGCCACACUGGGACUGAGACACGGCCCAGACUCCUACGGGAGGCAGCAGUGGGGAAUAUUGGACAAUGGGCGAAAGCCUGAUCCAGCAAUGCCGCGUGAGUGAUGAAGGCCUUAGGGUUGUAAAGCUCUUUUACCAGGGAUGAUAAUGACAGUACCUGGAGAAUAAGCUCCGGCUAACUCCGUGCCAGCAGCCGCGGUAAU
rnacentral:rRNA from 1 species